UAGUGAAUAGAGUCUACUUGGUCUAUUUAAUAUAGAUGGCACCUAUUUGAAUAACGGUCCCAAGCAAUUAUUCCAGAGCACAUACACAAUAACCAAAUGAACGAGUAUAAGCUUAUUAUCUCAUCAGUUCGAUGUUGUCCAGCAUAGCCUAGUCUUACUACAGAAUUCGAAUAUUUGAUGCCAAAUAAAUGAAUGUACUUAGACAAUCCAAAAACAAUUUAAUUAUACAAAAAGCAGCAGCGAAUUACACAAAAUCAGUGAAUGAAAUGGUAAGUACACAACUCGGGAAAAUAGCCAGAUCAGAAUUUUAGCUUGAACUCUUCACAUAUACUUAUGCUUUAUAUUUUCUGCUUAUAUUUGCCAUAGCAACAGUCAUGUACCUAGAAUAUAGAUCAAAAUAAGACGCAGGAGGUCAUCAGUAGUUAGCAGACGAUCACAGGCAGCCCAGAAGCAGAAUCAACAACUAGAAAUGUUUAAACCCCAAAAAAACCAUGCAAUUAACCCAUAACACACUUGAACAAACCCAAAAAAACUCAAAUCAACUCCCAAUACAACUUCUGAAUCUAACAGUCAACCAAGUAGCCUGUAAUAGACUCAGCCAACCAACUACACGUCGAAAUCACCCAAAUAAACUCGAAGAUGAACCCAAAAUACUUCAAAAGACAAUGACUCAACCCAAUCCAGUUCAGUUAUGCCCAAAAUCACUCGAACAAGGCAACAGAUCACUCCAGAAGCUUUUAGUAACUCGAAUUUACCACAGAAAUGAAGACAUUAAAUAGGAAUUUAGAAAGGAUCUAAAGAGGCAACGGAACAAUGAUUUUUUUUUUGAAAGUUUCUGCUAUUUUUUUAUUUCCUCUUAAGGAAAGCUAAGAUCUAAAAGUAAUUUUGUGCUACAUUUUGAAUUCUCAGAUCUGUAGGCUUGAGAAGUAAUUUUUGGGGGAAAUUUAUGGCUCCAAACUUUUUGAUUUUUCUUCUAAAUCUGAGAGAAGGUUUUUGAACUUUGAAAAAUCAGAUCUGCCCCCUCCCUUAUUCAAAGCAAAACCCAUGCUUUUAUAGCCAAAUCAAUAUAGUUACCUACUCCCCUAGAUGAGACCUCCAAUUCCUCCCCUAUUCCUCACGUGUGACCUCCCCUAUCCACUAGAACAUUCCCUCAAUAGAAUUUGAUUCCCCUAUCCUAAAUUCCCAAACUGACCCUCAAACUAACAUCUAACCUACCCUCUAAUACCCAGGUUAUUUACCCCUGUUAUUACCCUUUAACAUUUCAGACCAAAAGGCCAAUUGUCAGUUUCCAAAUUGGGCCUCCGUUUCAGUGGCCAAAAACCUCCCCCAAACCCAAUUCAAACCAAAGACACAAUCUAAACUAUAGAAAAUUAAAGAUAGUAGUAUAGUUAAUUCUUGUCUUUUUUUGUGUUUUUCAUUUUUGAAUGAAAACAUUUUAAGAAAGAAACAUAAACUAAUACUAAUCUAAUUAACCUAAUUAACCUACAAAAAAGAAGUGAUUGAUAAUCGAAUUUAAGGAGAAGUGCGAUGAAGUACCAAUGGAGACCAGCUGAACCUCAUCGUCUUCAGGAACAACAGUGACUCAAGCUCGACUUGCUCUGCUCAAUUGAACGACAGCCUCUCGACCGGACAUCGACAAAUCUAAGAUGAGACGAAACUCACAUUAAUCAAUGGCUCUUGACAAACCAUUAACUAAUGUUAAUUUUGACAUACAUCACGCCAAAAAUCAAUGAAAAGAAUUGAAGAAGUGAAAGCUUGGCGAUUCCAACUAUCUCUUUUUUUAGAUUGGAAAUUUAACGGAUUCCAUUGGGUGUUUUGGGAAAUGAGGGAAAUGACAUGAAUUAUCAGUGUCCGGUGGUUGCCUAGUACAGAUUUGGGGUUGAACAGGGUGGUGCUGCCACCGGAGAAAAUUUGGGCGGCGCUAGGGUUUCCACAAUUUGAGGUUGUACAGUGUGAUUUGGGGGGAAACAAAGUUUGGUAUGGGUAUGAAGGAGAGAAUACGGAGCUGUGGUGUAAAUUUGGGGGUCAUUGGAUGACGGCCGCUGCCGUGGGGAAAUUUUCGGCCGGCGGCGUGUGGCGGUGAGGACUGUUCUCUGAGAGACGAGUGGGGGUGAUGUGGGAUCGAAGUACAGGGAUCUGAGGUUGUUUGGACAUUUUAAAAUAAAAAGUGGGAAGGGUUCCUGGCCAUUGGAUGAAUUAAAU
rnacentral:lncRNA from 1 species